AUUGAACGCUGGCGGCAUGCUUUACACAUGCAAGUCGAACGGUAACAGGCCUUCGGGUGCUGACGAGUGGCGCACGGGUGAGUAAUGCAUCGGAACGUACCCAGAGGUGGGGGAUAACGCAGCGAAAGCUGUGCUAAUACCGCAUGUGAUCUGAGGAUGAAAGCGGGGGACCGAGCAGCAACGUUUGGCCUCGCGCCUUUGGAGCGGCCGAUGUCGGAUUAGCUAGUUGGUGGGGUAAAGGCCUACCAAGGCGACGAUCCGUAGCUGGUCUGAGAGGACGACCAGCCACACUGGGACUGAGACACGGCCCAGACUCCUACGGGAGGCAGCAGUGGGGAAUUUUGGACAAUGGGCGCAAGCCUGAUCCAGCAAUGCCGCGUGCGGGAAGAAGGCCUUCGGGUUGUAAACCGCUUUUGGCAGGAACGAAACGGUGUCCGCUAAUACCGGGCGCUAAUGACGGUACCUGCAGAAUAAGCACCGGCUAACUACGUG
rnacentral:rRNA from 1 species